rnacentral:rRNA from 1 species
GAUGAACGCUGGCGGCGUGCCUAAUACAUGCAAGUCGAGCGAAAAGACGAGGCGCUUGCUCCUCUGACGUUAGCGGCGGACGGGUGAGUAACACGUGGAUAACCUACCUAUAAGACUGGGAUAACUUCGGGAAACCGGCGCUAAUACCGGAUAAUCUAUUGCACCGCAUGGGUCAAUAGUGAGAGACGGUUUUGCUGUCUCUUAUAGAUGGAUCUGCGCCGCAUUAGCUAGUUGGUAAGGUAACGGCUUACCACGGCAACGAUGCGUAGCCGACCUGAGAGGGUGAUCGGCCACACGGGAAGUGAGACACGGUCCAGACGCCUACGGGAGGCAGCAGUAUGGAAUGGUACGCAAUGGGCGAAAGCCUGACGGAGCAACGGCGCGUGAGUGAUGAAGGUCUUCGGAUCGUAAAACUCUGUUAUUAGGUAAGAACAAAUGUGUAAGUAACUAUGCACGUCUUGACGGUACCUAAUAAGAAAGCCCCGGCUAACUACGUG